GAAGAGGUGGUCCCUCGUCUCCAA
rnacentral:siRNA from 1 species